UUACGAUUUAGUCUAAAAAGCGUGGCGUCACUGAAGAAGACUUCAAAUAACGUGGACAUGACCGAUGGCGAGAGAAAUUAAAAAACAAAUUGGUUUUCUGUUGCCAAAAGUAAAAUUCGGUGCGCGGACCUUUGACCACAGGUGCUUUGACCAUAGGGGGUUUGACCAUAGGGGGUUUGACCACAGCGGAGCUUUGACCAUAGGGGCUUUGACCAUAGGGGGUUUGACCACAGCGGGCCUUUGACCAUAGCGGUGCUUUGACCAUAGGUGGUUUGAUCAUAGGGGGUUUGACCAUAGGGGGUUUGACCACAGGUGUUUUCUCAGCAGAGGGUCUUUGAUCACAGGUGGUCUAUCAACUGGUGUUUGAUCACAAGCGCUGUGUCCGGCUUUGAUCAUAGGUGUUUUGUCCACAUAGGGUCUUUGAUCUCAGGUGGUUUGUCCAAUGCUGUCCAUAUAUGUUACAGUGUGUGGUGGUGGGCAGAUCGGGCUGUGUGUGGAGAGAUGUGAGUACAGCCCCACACUCUCAGCUAUGGGUGGGGGCGACGGCUGUCUACGAGUGCAAGUCUAAUGGGUGUGGUCAUACUUGUCAGCCCAAAGGAAAAGGCCCUAUAACUUCUUGAUCUGAGAUGCCAACAGUUUCUCUGAUCGACAACUUUUGACCAAACACCUGUCAUAAGCUGUCAGAAAUCAUAGACAAAAGAUGAUUAAACACACUCUGUAAAAUCG